rnacentral:rRNA from 1 species
AGAGUUUGAUCCUGGCUCAGCACGAACGCUGGCGGCGCGCCUAACACAUGCAAGUCGAACGAGAGAGAGGAAGCUUGCUUCCUCAAUCGAGUGGCGAACGGGUGAGUAACGCGUGAGGAACCUGCCUCAAAGAGGGGGACAACAGUUGGAAACGACUGCUAAUACCGCAUAAGCCCACAGGUCGGCAUCGACCAGAGGGAAAAGGAGCAAUCCGCUUUGAGAUGGCCUCGCGUCCGAUUAGCUAGUUGGUGAGGUAAUGGCCCACCAAGGCGACGAUCGGUAGCCGGACUGAGAGGUUGAACGGCCACAUUGGGACUGAGACACGGCCCAGACUCCUACGGGAGGCAGCAGUGGGGAAUAUUGCACAAUGGGGGAAACCCUGAUGCAGCGACGCCGCGUGGAGGAAGAAGGUCUUCGGAUUGUAAACUCCUGUUGUUGAGGAAGAUAAUGACGGUACUCAACAAGGAAGUGACGGCUAACUACGUGCCAGCAGCCGCGGUAAAACGUAGGUCACAAGCGUUGUCCGGAAUUACUGGGUGUAAAGGGAGCGCAGGCGGGAAGACAAGUUGGAAGUGAAAUCUAUGGGCUCAACCCAUAAACUGCUUUCAAAACUGUUUUUCUUGAGUAGUGCAGAGGUAGGCGGAAUUCCCGGUGUAGCGGUGGAAUGCGUAGAUAUCGGGAGGGACACCAGUGGCGAAGCGGGCCUACUGGGCACCAACUGACGCUGAGGCUCGAAAGUGUGGGUAGCAAACAGGAUUAGAUACCUGGUAGUCCACACCGUAAACGAUGAUUACUAGGUGUUGGAGGAUUGACCCCUUCAGUGCCGCAGUUAACACAAUAAGUAAUCCACCUGGGGAGUACGACCGCAAGGUUGAAACUCAAAGGAAUUGACGGGGGCCCGCACAAGCAGUGGAGUAUGUGGUUUAAUUCGACGCAACGCGAAGAACCUUACCAAGUCUUGACAUCCCUUGACGAACAUAGAAAUAUGUUUUCUCUUCGGAGCAAGGAGACAGGUGGUGCAUGGUUGUCGUCAGCUCGUGUCGUGAGAUGUUGGGUUAAGUCCCGCAACGAGCGCAACCCUUACUGUCAGUUAAUACGCAAGAGGACUCUGGCAGGACUGCCGUUGACAAAACGGAGGAAGGUGGGGAUGACGUCAAAUCAUCAUGCCCUUUAUGACUUGGGCUACACACGUACUACAAUGGCGUUAAACAAAGAGAAGCAAGACCGCGAGGUGGAGCAAAACUCAGAAACAACGUCCCAGUUCGGACUGCAGGCUACAACUCGCCUGCACGAAGUCGGAAUUGCUAGUAAUCGUGGAUCAGCAUGCCACGGUGAAUACGUUCCCGGGCAUUUGUACACGGCGCCCGUCA